rnacentral:rRNA from 1 species
UACAGAGGGGGCCAGCGUUAUUCGGAAUUAUUGGCGUAAAGGGCGCGUAGGCGGCCAUGCGUGUCUUCCGUGAAAUCCCUCGGCUUAACUGAGGACGUGCGGAAGAAACUGCAAGGCUUGAGUCCGGGAGGAGGGGGGGUGGAAUUCCCAGUGUAGCGGUGAAAUGCGUAGAUAUUGGGAGGAACACCGGUGGCGAAGGCGGCCCCUGGACCGGUCACU